UACGUAGGGGGCAAGCGUUGUCCGGAUUUACUGGGCGUAAAGAGCGUGUAGGCGGCCAAACAGGUCCGUUGUGAAAACUGGAGGCUCAACCUCCAGACGUCGACGGAAACCGUGUGGCUAGAGUCCGGAAGAGGAGAGUGGAAUUCCUGGUGUAGCGGUGAAAUCCGUUGAUAUCAUGGGGAACACCAAAAGCGAAGGCAGUACAUUGGGCCACUCCUGACACUGAAACACGAAAGCGUGGGUAGCGAAUGGG
rnacentral:rRNA from 1 species